rnacentral:rRNA from 1 species
UACGUAGGGUGCAAGCGUUAAUCGGAAUUACUGGGCGUAAAGCGUGCGCAGGCGGUUUUGUAAGUCUGUCGUGAAAUCCCCGGGCUCAACCUGGGAACUGCAUUUGUGACUGCACAGCUGGAGUGCGGCAGAGGGGGAUGGAAUUCCGCGUGUAGCAGUGAAAUGCGUAGAUAUGCGGAGGAACACCGAUGGCGAAGGCAAUCCCCUGGGCCUGCACUGACGCUCAUGCACGAAAGCGUGGGGAGCAAACAGG